rnacentral:sRNA from 1 species
AGCAGCCGCGGUAAUUCCAGCUCCAAUAGCGUAUAUUAAAGUUGCUGCAGUUAAAAAGCUCGUAGUUGAAUUUCGGGACUAAUAUGUCGGUCGUGCCUCGGUACGUACUGGCUUAUUGGUUUCUCCUUUCUGAAGAACCAUGAUGUCAUUUAUUUGGUGUCGUGGGGAAUCAGGACUGUUACUUUGAAAAAAUUAGAGUGUUUAAAGCAGGCUCACGCUUGAAUACAUUAGCAUGGAAUAAUGAAAUAGGACGUUUGAUUCUAUUUUGUUGGUUUCUAGGAUCGACGUAAUGAUUAAUAGGGAUAGUUGGGGGCAUUAGUAUUCAAUUGUCAGAGGUGAAAUUCUUGGAUUUAUUGAAGACUAACUACUGCGAAAGCAUUUGCCAAGGAUGUUUUCAUUAAUCAAGAACGAAAGUUAGGGGAUCGAAGACGAUCAGAUACCGUCGUAGUCUUAACCAUAAACUAUGCCGACUAGGGAUCGGAUGAUGUUAAUUUUUUAAUGACUCAUUCGGCGCCUUAAC